rnacentral:lncRNA from 10 species
AAGGGUACUGGGAGCAGCAAAGAAAAGCCACAGCAACAUCAGUUUGACCACGAAUGCUGCUUAAUGGUUCCUUCGCCAUUUCAGCUGCCACCAUCCCCUCUCCCCAAAACCCCAGUAGACAUCAACAGAAUCCAGAAACUACAGGGUCCACUGGCAUGGCAGGGCCUGUAGGAUUCUUUUCCAAUGUGUACAGAUUGGCUGAUGCCUGGACUAUGCCAGUUCACUGUUUUAAAGAUUACUCUUGAUUGUCACAAUUAAAAACAAAGAAUAUUUAGAACCAAAUUAUAUGUGUUGCACAUUAAACAAAACGUUUUAUAAUAUGUUCUAAAAGUCAGCAAAGGUUAUUUAGCUGUGUAUGAUUCAUUUCACAAUUCCAUUUUUUAAUAUUGUAAUUCUCCCUUAUGCCUUCUAAUUUUUUUUGAAAUGACCACAGAUAUCUUCUGUAGGCCAAAUAGCAUAUUACACAUCUGUCAAAACAUACUUUAUUAUCAUAUAACUCUGUUUACAAAGUCUCUUGAACCCUUUCAGAUUGUUCUGGCUGCUUGUUUUGUGUUCAUUUCUUUCUUUAAUGUGUUUACAUUUUCCAGUCAUUUGUAUAAAUAAGGAUGUACUAGAAUAAAUAGUCUUUCCCCUUUAAGACCCAGU